AAAAAACAAAAUGAAGGUUGGGUUGGUUGGGGGAGGGGUGAAGGUGUUGGCUGUUAUUUUGAUAAAAAUCUACGAAGUUCCCCUUUAUUGGUGUCCCCACGUGUCCCUUGUUUGAGGAGUGCGAGCGGCCAGUGGGUAGGCAGCAGGGUGCCAGCGGGGGUGAGUGGCGCUUCCCAUCAUGGUGGGCAGGCGAUUCCCAUGCCGCGCUGAGGUGGUAGCAGCAGGUAAUGGCACAAUGUGGCGCCGUGCUUGUUGUGAGAAGCCGUACUACAGAGUGUAUCAGCGUGUGUGUGAGGGGAGGGCUGAGCGCGGCUUCCCUUGGCGUGCAGUUUGUAUGGCUUGUUGCGCUAUUGGCUGUGCGAUGGGGGUCGGAAGUCCAUUUUUUUUAUGCAAAUGAAGAAGCUGGGCUUGUAGAUAUUUACGUUGGUGCGGGAGCCGCCCUUCAUUCACCCACAUGGUCGGAUUCAGACAGCGUUCGCGCCACUUUCUCAAUUGUAAUUUAUUUUAAUUGUGUCCCACGCUUUCUCCGCCCAGACUCUUCUUCUUUGCCUGUUGUUCGCUCUCGGGGGGUUCGGCGGAGACGGGCCGAGCUGCCGCUGUUACUGCUGGUAAGCGGAGAUAUCAUUGAUCUCCAAGAUGGCUGUGUCCAGCUGUUGUCAAGAGUAAUGUCAAAGUGCUUACAGUGCAGGUAGUGAUUUAACAGAACCUACUGCAGUGAAGGCACUUGUAGCAUUAUAUUGACAGUGUUUUCUAGAGGCAAAUAAAAGUGUGUGUGUCCAUAUUGUGCUUUUUGUCCUAAGGUGCAUCUAGUGCAGAUAGUGAAGUAGAUUAGCAUCUACUGCCCUAAGUGCUCCUUCUGGCAUAAAAAGUACUCUUUCGCUGAAACUUGUUCUAUUCGUUAAUAUUUGAUCUGUGCCUUUUGCUACUUUGUGCAGUCUUCUGUUAGUUUUGCAUAGUUGCACUACAAGAAAAAUGUAGUUGUGCAAAUCUAUGCAAAACUGAUGGCAGCCUGUAUUGGCUGCAGUAGCAAGCUCUCACUCACACUGUACCAUUUUGGCUAAAGUGGUGCUAAAGUGCUUAUAGUGCAGGUAGUUUUUCUGUAUUCUACUGCAUAAUGAGCACUUAAAGUACUCCUAGCUGCAUGCCGACCCAAUCAGUCAUAAAAAUGUACCUUAAAUCUUGGUGCUUCAUGGUUAGUUUUGCAGGUUUGCAUCCAGUUGUUCUUCUGGCUCACUGUGCAAAUCCAUGCAAAACUGAUUAUGGCACUUAAUCGGCAACUGAUCUGUGGGAUGGUGGGGAGUUGCCCCUUUCUGUAUAGGUUGGGAUUGGUUGCAAUGCUGUACUAUUUAUGUAGUAUUGCACUUGUCCCGGCCUGUUUAGGAUGCUUGGGAUUAUCAAAUGGUUUAUGCAUUCCGACUUUAUUUUUUCCCUUUAUUUGUUAAAAAUGUCAUUAGUCCAUGGAAGUACUUGUCUUAACUUUGUAAUUUAUUGCUGCUUAUUUAUGUAUAUGGAACAACAACGUAAUUAUAAAAUCAAUAUAAACCUUAAAAGACUUGCACAUUUUGUAUACCUAAAUGUAAAUUUGGUUACUCAUAUUUAAAUAUGGUAUAAAUAAGAUUGUACUAUUAAUGUACUAAGCAACUCACAAUACCUUAGAUAAUCACUGAAAAGAAACCCUGGUUUAGAAAUAUAAGAACUAAAGCUCUACUGAAACAUACUGAAAGAAAAAAGCAAAAAGUAUACGAGAGAAACAUUUAUUGAGUACUAAAGCACAUUACAAGAAAAUAUAGCUUGGGCUAUAUUUUCUUGUAAUGUAAUUUUGUAUUCAAUAAAUUUUUUAUUUUGUGUGCGGAUACUUUUGCCUUUUUCUUGACUGUUGAUGGAGUAAUUAAAUGGGGUUUCUCCUGUGUCCCUGCACCUCUUUUCUUUUGCUGUAAUAUAAGG